AUUAAACGCUGGCGGCAGGCUUAACACAUGCAAGUCGAGCGGAGAUGAGGUGCUUGCACCUUAUCUUAGCGGCGGACGGGUGAGUAAUGCUUAGGAAUCUGCCUAUUGGUGGGGGACAACAUUCCGAAAGGAAUGCUAAUACCGCAUACGCCCUACGGGGGAAAGCAGGGGAUCUUCGGACCUUGCGCUAAUAGAUGAGCCUAAGUCGGAUUAGCUAGUUGGUGGGGUAAAGGCCUACCAAGGCGACGAUCUGUAGCGGGUCUGAGAGGAUGAUCCGCCACACUGGGACUGAGACACGGCCCAGACUCCUACGGGAGGCAGCAGUGGGGAAUAUUGGACAAUGGGCGGAAGCCUGAUCCAGCCAUGCCGCGUGUGUGAAGAAGGCCUUUUGGUUGUAAAGCACUUUAAGCGAGGAGGAGGCUACCUGGAUUAAUACUCUAGGAUAAUGGACGUUACUCGCAGAAUAAGCACCGGCUAACUCUGUGCCAGCCGCCGCAGUAACAC
rnacentral:rRNA from 1 species